GAGGGUGUGGCUCAGUGGUAGAGAGCUUGCCUAACAUGCACAACGGGUCUAGGUUUGAUUCCUAGCACCAGCA
rnacentral:tRNA from 1 species